UGUGGCUGAAAACAUUAUUUCAGGAGAC
rnacentral:piRNA from 1 species